rnacentral:misc_RNA from 1 species
AAAUGAUUAUCUUUGUUUUAGUUGUGAAAUGGAUCAGCAGUUUUCCUUACGUUGGAACAACUAUCUCAAUCAGCUGACAGACGCCUUCGGUUCUCUCCGGUAUGAGGAAGACCUGGUGGACGUAACGUUGAGUUGUGAAGGAGGGAAGUUGAAAGCACACAAAAUGCUACUCUCAGCAUGUAGUUCAUAUUUUCAUGAUAUUUUUAAGGAGAAUCCGUGUCAGCACCCUGUGAUUGUUUUUCGCAAUGUUAAGUUAAGAGAUCUACAAGCGAUCUUGGACUUUAUUUAUAAAGGAGAAGUAAAUGUUCUGCAGGAACACCUUGAAUCAUUCUUAGGGACUGCAGAAUUAUUGGAAAUCAAAGGCUUGGCUGAAUGUAAUGAAAAAAACGUCACGUUAGAAGAAGAAGAAAAAAGUAGUUGCAUUACAACAAAGAAUGAUCAAAGACUGGAAAAAGUUGAGCUGAAAGCAGGAAUCAUCGCUCCAUUGCAAUUCCAAUGUGCCUCCGCUCGGUCAACGAGUCCACCAGUCAAGAAGCGGAGAUUGUUGAGCAGUCAAACCAAGUCUUUUGAAGGAAACCAAAGUGAAGUUGAAGAGGAAACAAACGUGGCUCCCAUUGAACUGAAGAUUGAGGAAGAGGAGUUUGUGGAAGAACAGAGUUUUGAAGAAGAUGAGGAAGACUUGAGACUGCCACUCAGCCCUACUUCUGAUCCACUACAUGUACCUGAUAAUUUACAAAUGUACAGCUCACAUAGUGCAAUAUUGAAAGACGGAAAAUCAGCCACAAAAGGUAUAGAACAGUGUUUCAAGGAUUGGUAUCCAUCCUCUUCAUCUCGUUGGGGGAGGUAUUAAUACAUACAAAAAUAUAGAACAGAAAGAAGAAAAAAUUGAAAGAAAAAUCUUCAAACGUACCUGAAAACUGCUUGGAGUAAAGUCCAGUUGCUGGAGGACGUCAUCCACGAUGUAGCUUUUGCCCAAUAAGAAAAAAUAGGUUCACCCGUAUUACGUGCAGUGUAUGUCAGCGAAGGAUAUGUAAAGAGCACACAAGUCUAACGA